CCUACGGGCGGCAGCAGUGGGGGAUAUUGCACAAUGGGGGAAACCCUGAUGCAGCGACGCCGCGUGUGGGAAGACGGUCUUCUGGAUUGUAAACCACUGUCCCCAGGGACGAAAAUGACGGUACCUGGGGAGGAAGCUCCGGCUAACUACGUGCCAGCAGCCGCGGUAAUACGUAGGGAGCAAGCGUUGUCCGGAAUUACUGGGUGAAAAGGGAGCGUAGGCGGGGAUGCAAGUUGGUUGGCAAAACUACCGGCUAAACAGAGAGUCGCACUCAAAACUGCAACUCUUGAGUGAAGUAGAGGCAGGCGGAAUUCCUAGUGUAGCGGUGAAAUGCGUAGAUAUUAGGAGGAACACCAGUGGCGAAGGCGGCCUGCUGGGCUUUUACUGACGCUGAGGCUCGAAAGUGUGGGGAGCAAACAGGAUUAGAUACCCUGGUAGUC
rnacentral:rRNA from 1 species